rnacentral:rRNA from 1 species
GACGGGGGGGGCAAGUGUUCUUCGGAAUCACUGGGCGUAAAGGGAGCGUAGGCGGCGUGGUAAGUCAGAUGUGAAAUCCCGGGGCUCAACCCCGGAACUGCAUCCGAUACUGCCAUGCUUGAGGGUUGGAGAGGUAGCUGGAAUUCUCGGUGUAGCAGUGAAAUGCGUGGAUAUCGAGAGGAACACUCGUGGCGAAGGCGAGCUACUGGACAACAUCUGACGCUGAGGCUCGAAGGCCAGGGGAGCAAAAGGG